rnacentral:rRNA from 1 species
UGGGGAAUAUUGCACAAUGGGCGCAAGCCUGAUGCAGCAACGCCGCGUGAACGAUGAAGGUCUUCGGAUCGUAAAGCUCUGUUGCAGGGGAAGAUAAUGACGGUACCCUGUGAGGAAGCCCCGGCUAACUACGUGCCAGCAGCCGCGGUAAUACGUAGGGGGCUAGCGUUAUCCGGAUUUACUGGGCGUAAAGGGUGCGUAGGUGGUCUUUCAAGUCGGUGGUUAAAGGCUACGGCUCAACCGUAGUUAGCCUCCGAAACUGGAAGACUUGAGUGCAGGAGAGGAAAGUGGAAUUCCCAGUGUAGCGGUGAAAUGCGUAGAUAUUGGGAGGAACACCAGUAGCGAAGGCGGCUUUCUGGACUGCAACUGACACUGAGGCACGAAAGCGUGGGUAGCAAACAGG